UUGAGUUUUUAGGUAGAUCAAAGAAAUAAAGAAGCAUUGAUGGGGGUGGGAGCAUCACCAUGGAUUUUUAAUAUGAGUCAAUUAAAAGUAAUUGAACCGAUAAUUUAUAACUUAAAAAUGUAAUGGUCUCGAACUUUAGUUUGAAAGCCACAUUGUUGAGAGAAGCAUAUGGCUGCAAAGUGCUUAGCGUGUUGCUUGGCUUGUAUAAAACGUCCAUUGAACAUAUGUAUUUUUUUUAACUGGUGUGAAAUAUGAACAUUUUCAAGUACUACUGAAAACAGGCCUUUGCAAUUCCUUAAAGAAAUUUUGGGGUUCUAGACAAAGCCUAACAUGUGGUCAACACUAUAAACUGCCAAGAUGGGACUAGUAUGAAAAUAGCAGGGGUAGAGGCGACUAAAUGGUGCAAUGGAUAGAGUACUGACUGAGCCUGAAGUCAGAAGUUCAAAUCUUAACUUAGAAAGUUAAGUAUUUAGUAUUUUCUUAAUACUUCCUCGCUGUGUGAUCCUGGCAAGUUACUUAACUCCAGUAUACUUCUUGGUUGUUGGAUGGUGUGGGGGCCAUUGUGGCACACAAGAGAUAAUAGAUUAAAUGAAGAAUACCCAAUCUGCACAACAGACUAAUGUCCAACUUGUGUGGUUUUUAAUCAGCUUGUAUUUCAGAUCACAUCCCUGGUGACUCUCUGUUAGCUUGCCUUCUUUAGCAUUUAGAGAAAAAGAUUCUUAUUGUGCCUUAGGAGGACCUAGAACCCUAGUUCUAAAACCACAAUUCCCUCUAAUACCAAAACUUUCACCGCUGAAAUUGUGUCCAGGAAUAACCCACUUACCUUCACAAACUCUGAUGGACUCUCAUGUCACUGUAUUCCAGAAAUGACCCGAUAUUUCUCCUUUGGCUUUAUCUGCAGGACAAGAAAGGAAACACGAUGGUGAAUAAAUUUAAUUUUGAAGAUAUGAACAAAAAUAACAAUAAUCUAGGCCUAAGCUGUAAUUGGUGAAAUGUUGCUAUUUGAGGAAGAGUCUCUUGGAACUUAAAUUGGCUGUUCUUCUAAAUCUUGAAUUCAGGUAUAAGUAUCUGACCCCACUUAAGGCUGCCAGCCUAUAUAUUUUGAGCCUGAUUCUGAUACCCUGGUUCUCAUAUGAACCCUUUCUGAGUGAUUGGCUGUUCCUACAACUUACACCUGAAAGCAACUAAUGCUUCUAUGUCUUUCUCCUCACCUAGCAAAUUGCAUUGUUAAGAGCAAGGGUAUAAUGAUGCCUCAUUUUCUAUAAUAAACAUAAGAAAAUAAAUCCUAUUAGUGACUUCUGCCAAAAUUGCUUGUGCUAGCAUUGUAUUACUCAAACGAGGAAUCAUUUUCCAUUGCCAUUUGAAUCACAACUAAUAAAAUUCAUAAAAACCUUACAAUGUAUAGAGUAUUUAGCUUAUGAAAAAAAAAAAGAAAUGAAAAAGCAUUUAUUCAGUAUUUCCCGUAUUCAAUGUCAAAUACUGCACAAGUUCUUGGGAUACAAAUAUAAAAAGAAAUUUGUAUUCUCCAGGAGCUCACACUGUAACAGGAGGAAACAGCAUGAAAAGGAGGUUUCACUACAAGUGAAUGGAAUAUGGAGCCAUUUGGUCCCCUUGGGCUGAGGCCUGGAGGACCAAGACUGUUGUUGGGGUUGUGCAACCAAGCCCUCCUUCCUUUCAUAGCAAAUCUUUCUAACUAUGGCAGGUAAAACGGUAUUUUUAUUACAUAAUGGGUCUUGUUACUGCAAUCUCUAUCUCUGAAUUGGUAUAAAGGGAUGCAAAAAAAUAAGGUCCCUUAUUAGGUAGCCCACUCUGAGGUUCUUCCUCUAUCUCUGUUGUUCAUUGGGUUAGCUCCAAAAGGUCUGAACUGGUUUUCACAUGAACUAAUUACUGGAGAGCCAAUUUGAGUGUUUUUUUUUUAUCAAGUUUUACUAAAUUACAUGAAGUUUUAUCACUAUUAGCCUUUAGCAGCCUUACCUAGGGAAUCUAAACAAGCAACUCGGAACGUGAAUGAUGGUUGAAGAAGAAUGGGAAACAUCUUGUUUGGAGAUGGAACUCUUCUUUGAGAUGCUCACCUGGGAAAUGUCCAAAAAAGAUCUGCACAGACAUUUGAGAAAGGCACAGGAGAUGCUCCCAAGACAUCUGACGGAAUAGAUCAUAGACAUACAGACUGACAUUUCUACAGACACUCAGAAGUUCCAAACCUGUGAUCACCAUCUCUUCAGGUCCUCGGGAGGUUACCUGUGAUCUUUGCUCCAUCUUCUUAUCCAGACAAUCAACACUUCUGUGCUUUCAUCUGGAAUAAUCCACGGUAGAAGGGGACCCACUGGCCUCAAGGGUCUAUAGAACAUCCCACCCUACUCUCUGUUUUACAAUAAGACUUCACCUCCACCAUCUUCAGAGGCUCUUCUCUGGAGUGUUACAUUAAUGAUCUCCUACUAAUUACAGCCAGGAUUGAGAUCUUCCAAGUCAACAAUCACCAUCUUCUUCAGCUCCAUCUAAGGUUUCCAGGUCAGAGGUAUGAUGGUGUCUCCCCCAAAGUGAAGAUGUUUUCUUCCUCCUGGCUCUCCUAAAUCAUAUACAGGCUCUUCAAUACUUGUUGAUGCUCAAGACCAGCAAACCAUCAAGUGCUAUGAAAGGAACAGCUGGAAACUGAUUCUAGUGGAUCCUAUCUUUUGGUGAGAUCAUCUAGCCCCUGCUAUAUUUUUUUUUAUAUCUAAGACUAUUUCAGAACCUUUCAUCCUAGGAGCCUGAACGUUAUCAUUUUAAUUGUGACACAUGGUACUGGUGAUCUUUGCUGUAUUAAGAUAUUUUCCCUCAAUAGGGUUUGAGAAUGGAGAACCCAGAAGAUUAUCUUCUUGAUUUUUUUUUUGGCAUAUAUAGCAGGGUUUUUAAAAAUCUGAUUACUGUAUGCUAUACCAAUUGCUUUGUGCCUAAGGACCAUCAUUAUUCUAGUGUGUAAAUCUAGCCUUUCUUUAAUUACCUAUUAUGUUCUUCUCCUGUAUUUACUCCUUCCAGGAAGACUGGAAAAGAGUCAAUACUGUUACUAAAAUACACAAUGAAGGAGGGCAAACUUGAUAUCACUUGAAAGUUAUUGGGAACUGGCUGAUUUUUGAGCACCCCUUCACAUUAUGACAGUGUAAGAGAAUGUCUUAGAUGAUGGAAUUAAGGCAAGGACUCAACUGAGCUCUCCCAAACUCCCUCAAAAUGAAUUCUAGACCAAGAGAAUCAAAUAGGAUGGGGUGAAACAACGUCCAGCACAAGGUAAUGUAGAAGGUUGCCAGGAAAGGUCUCACUGGACUGAGAGUAGAGCCGGGGGCAGCACAGGCCAUACCCCAGCAAGCCAGCAGCAGGUCUCGGGCGGGGGUGACUGAACCGGCAGUAGGGGGCACUCAGCCAACAGAUUGUACAGGGAUCACACUACUAGUCAGGAGAUUCCAGAGAGGGGAGCGCUAGAGCAUGUGGAGCAGGGGAACAAGAACCCUGAUCACAGUGCUCACAGCUCCAAAACAGAAAAGAAUGGGAUCACUCAGACCAGAGCCCGAAGCAGGAGAGUGGGGACCACACCUCUCCUUGGACCAUACCAUCUUGGAAAAACUGAAAACUUAGACGCUCAGAACUGGCUUUGAAAAUCACACACACCUCAGAAUUUGCUUGUAAAUCCAUCUGGUGCUGAGAAUUUUCCUCUUAGGGAGCUCUCUUAUGACUUGUUCAAUUUACUUCCCUAAAAUUGGAGUAUUUAAAUACUCUCUUUCAUCUUCUAAUAAACGGGCAAUUUUUAUUUUUGCAAAUAUUCAUUUCCUCUAGUUAUGAAGGAUAAUUAAAUAUCCAUUUUUGCCCAUAGAAUGAUACUGAGUUUUGCUGAAUUGAUAAUUCUUUAUUUUAAUCAUACUUCUUUUGCCCUCUGGAAUAUUGCAUUCCAAACUCUCCUGUGCUUAAAAGUAGUGUCUGCUAAAUCUUGGUGAUUCUGAUUAUGGGUCCCUUUUUUUUUGGCCACUUGCAGUACAUUCUCCUUGCCCUAUGAGUUCUGGAUGUUGUGCAAAAUAUUCCUAGAGUUUUCAUUUGGGGAUUUCUUUCAGGAAUUGACUAAUGGGCUUUUGAAUUUGUACUUGACUCUCUAGUUAUAUUUUAAUAGUUUUCCUUUAUAUUUUCCUGAUAUGAUGUCUCAGGUUUUUUUUUUUUUAAGCUUUAAAGUAGUUCAACAAUUCUUGACCUCUCCUUGCUCUCUUUUCUAGGCCAGUUGUUUUUCUUAUGAAAUAUUUCACAUUUUUUCUUUAACAUUUUUUUUACUUUGCUUUAUAUCUUGAUUUCUUCAGUUGACCAAUUCUAAUUUUAAAGAUGUUAUUUUCCUCAGUGAAGUUUUGAACCUCUUCUAUCAUUUGGCCAAUUCUAAUUUUUAAGGAUUUUUUCAAUAUGUUUUAUGGCUUUUACUAAGCUGUUUAUUCUUGUCAUAAUUUUCAUCAAUUGCUUUUAUUUCUUUUCCCAACUUUCCUCUAACAUUUUUAUUUGAUUGUUAAAAUUCUUUUCUUUAUCUCUUCCUUGAUUUCUUCCAAGAAUUCUUUUUGGGUUUGUAUCCAAUUUGCAUUUUACUUUGAGGCUUUGCUUAUACUCAGUGAGACCAACUUCAUUUUAGAGAUGAGAAAAUUAAAGCAAAUUUCUUUAUUGUUAUGCAAGUUCUUUGUUCAGAGUUAUACAAAAGGACUGAGGCAGGAUUUGAUUCCAUCUUCCUGAUCCUAAACCCAGUGCCCUAUUAUUACAGAACAAUGUUUUACCCUACACUGUUUUGAAUAUCAAUUUCAAUCAUAAGAAAAAUGACUUAAUUGUCUAAACCGUUUAACCAAAAACUACUUUGAGACUUAUGAUCCAAGAAACAGAGUAGCUAGCACUUAAAUAAUGAUUUAAUAUUUGCAAAGCAAUUUACAGAUAUUAUCCAAUUUGAUUCUCACAUCAAUCAUACCUGGAUUAUUAGCAUACACAUUCUACAACAGAUGGGGGAAACUGAGGCAGCAAUAGGUUAAGUGAUUUGCCCAGAUCACACAGCUAGGAAGUGUCAGAGACUGAAUUUGAACUGAGGUCUUAUAAUUCCAGAAAUAGCACUCUAACCACUAUAAUAGCCUAAAGAAUUCGUUACAUAAAUCAGUGUCUAACAAUUAUCAAAAUGUUUAUUUCAGAAUGUUUUGUGUCAACAACAACAACAGGAAAUAAGUGAGCAUCAAUUGCCUGGGGGAUGGCUGGUGAAGUUAUGGAAUACAAAUGACAUGAAUUAUUAUUGAGAACCAAAAACCAAUAGUAUUUCAGAGAAAAUUUUUUUACAUUAAUAGGGUUUUAGGCAUAGUUUGAAAUAUGGAUUAUCAACUAAGUUUAUGCUGAAGCAAGAAGUCUUCCCUUUUUAAUUCAAGUUUUAUCUCCAGCAUAAUUCCUCGAGUCUUAUCCAAAACUUAUCCUUGACUGUCAAGGCUUUCCCACAAUCCUUGCUUUUACUACCCUUCUUUUCAGUGUGAAUAUUCUAAUAUUUUCCCCAUGGAACACACUCAUAAGAUUUCUCUGUACUAAUGCAAAGUGAUGACCUUUGACUAAAGGUCUUCCCAUAUUAAAUUCAUACCGAGUCUGACUCCAGAAUGAAUUGUCUGAUAUCUAAUAAACUCUAUAUUCUGUUGAAA